GACGAACGCUGGCGGCGUGCUUAACACAUGCAAGUCGAACGGAAAGGCCCUGCGUUUGUGGGGUGCUCGAGUGGCGAACGGGUGAGUAACACGUGAGUAACCUGCCCUUGACUUUGGGAUAACUUCAGGAAACUGGGGCUAAUACCGGAUAGGAGCUCCUGCUGCAUGGUGGGGGUUGGAAAGUUUCGGCGGUUGGGGCUGGACUCGCUGCUUAUGAGCUUGUUGGUGGGGUAGUGGCUUGCCAAGGCUUUGACGGGUAGCCGGCCUGGGAGGGUGACCGGCCACAAUGGGACUGAGAUACGGCCCAGACGCCUACGGGAGGCAGCAGGGGGGAAUAUUGCACAAUGGGCGGAAGCCUGAUGCAGCAACCCCGCGUGCGGGAUGACGGCCUUCGGGUUGUAAACCACUUUCGCCGGUGACGAGGCGUGAGUGACGGUAAUGGGUAAAGAAGCACCGGCUAACUACGUG
rnacentral:rRNA from 1 species